rnacentral:rRNA from 1 species
GAUCAACGCUGGCGGCGUGCCUAAUGCAUGCAAGUCGAGCGGGGUGGUCUUCGGAUCACUUACGCGGCGGACGGGUGCGUAACACGUGGGCAAUCUGCCCUGGGGGUGGGGGAUAGCCGUGGGAAGCCGCGGGUAAUUCCGCCUACGUUCUUUCGUCGGCAGGACGGGAGAAGAAAGGCUCGGCAACGAGUCGCCCUGGGAGGAGCCUGCGGCCGAUUAGCUAGACGGUGGGGUAACGGCCUACCGUGGCGGNGAUCGGUAGCUGGUCUGAGAGGACGGCCAGCCACACGGGGACUGAGACACGGCCCCGACUCCUACGGGAGGCAGCAGUGGGGAAUCUUGCGCAAUGGGCGAAAGCCUGACGCAGCGACGCCGCGUGAGGGAUGACGGCCUCGGUU